CGGCGCACGGGUGAGUAACACGUAUCCAACCUGCCGAUAACUCCGGAAUAGCCUUUCGAAAGAAAGAUUAAUACCGGAUNGCAUACGAAUAUCGCAUGAUAUUUUUAUUAAAGAAUUUCGGUUAUCGAUGGGGAUGCGUUCCAUUAGUUUGUUGGCGGGGUAACGGCCCACCAAGACUACGAUGGAUAGGGGUUCUGAGAGGAAGGUCCCCCACAUUGGAACUGAGACACGGUCCAAACUCCUACGGGAGGCAGCAGUGAGGAAUAUUGGUCAAUGGGCGAGAGCCUGAACCAGCCAAGUAGCGUGAAGGAUGAAGGCUCUAUGGGUCGUAAACUUCUUUUAUAUGGGAAUAAAGUUUUCCACGUGUGGAAUUUUGUAUGUACCAUAUGAAUAAGGAUCGGCUAACUCCGUGCCAGCAGCCGCGGUAAUACGGAGGAUCCGAGCGUUAUCCGGAUUUAUUGGGUUUAAAGGGAGCGUAGGUGGAUUGUUAAGUCAGUUGUGAAAGUUUGCGGCUCAACCGUAAAAUUGCAGUUGAAACUGGCAGUCUUGAGUACAGUAGAGGUGGGCGGAAUUCGUGGUGUAGCGGUGAAAUGCUUAGAUAUCACGAAGAACUCCGAUUGCGAAGGCAGCUCACUAGACUGUUACUGACACUGAUGCUCGAAAGUGUGGGUAUCAAACAGGAUUAGAUACCCUGGUAGUCCACACAGUAAACGAUGAAUACUCGCUGUUUGCGAUAUACAGUAAGCGGCCAAGCGAAAGCAUUAAGUAUUCCACCUGGGGAGUACGCCGGCAACGGUGAAACUCAAAGGAAUUGACGGGGGCCCGCACAAGCGGAGGAACAUGUGGUUUAAUUCGAUGAUACGCGAGGAACCUUACCCGGGCUUAAAUUGCAACAGAAUAUAUUGGAAACAGUAUAGCCGUAAGGCUGUUGUGAAGGUGCUGCAUGGUUGUCGUCAGCUCGUGCCGUGAGGUGUCGGCUUAAGUGCCAUAACGAGCGCAACCCUUAUCUUUAGUUACUAACAGGUUAUGCUGAGGACUCUAGAGAGACUGCCGUCGUAAGAUGUGAGGAAGGUGGGGAUGACGUCAAAUCAGCACGGCCCUUACGUCCGGGGCUACACACGUGUUACAAUGGGGGGUACAGAAGGCGGCUACCUGGUGACAGGAUGC
rnacentral:rRNA from 1 species